AAGAUUUUAAGUUAUAUUAAACUGAAGACUUUCAAGGUCUUUUAUAAAUCAAGUGUGUUUAAAUCUUG
rnacentral:tRNA from 1 species